CCCAUGGCUGGUACAGAAGUAAAUGGCUAAAGGAACCAAACGAACAGGAUCAUCCGAACUUUUCUUUGAAAAUCCCGUACACCAACUCGCCUCAUUGUUAUUUAAUUGUUUUUUUUUUUCAUUUGCCAUCUUUAUAAGCAAUAGACAACAGACAUUUCAACAACAACAACAUUCCGUAUAACACCGAAGAAACAUCGGACUGUUCAUUAAAUCGAUUUUAAAAGGUUACGAAGUCUUUUUUUCUGCAAGAAAAACAGACAGUGUAAUUAGAUACUGAUAGUGACUUUUAUUCUGUAUAUCCUGCCAGGGUUUGUUAAUGGUGCUGAAAAAUGCAUUUGUUGGCAUAUUUUAUGCUGUUUGGUUAUAAUAAAUCAAGAACCAAAAAAAAGCGUAUAUUUCACUGUCAAUUUUGAAUGGAGGAUUUAUUUACUAAGAGUCCAUUGAAAUAUUCAAGCACCAAACAGUUUAAAGAAUAUAUCGGUGUUGUAAACAAUCUUCUUUAUAGUAAUAAAUGUUCAGCAAGC
rnacentral:misc_RNA from 1 species